UUGAACUGAAGAGUUUGAUCCUGGCUCAGAUUGAACGCUGGCGGCAUGCCUUACACAUGCAAGUCGAACGGCAGCACGGACUU
rnacentral:rRNA from 1 species